rnacentral:rRNA from 1 species
AUGCCAAAAGAAAAUAUUGAACCUGUUGAAAUUCUGAUUUUUUUAAAGCAGCAUGAUUGUUUUCCCAAUGCAAGUAUUCCAUAUAGAGUUCUAUUGACCAUUCCUGUGACAGUUGCAUCGGCAGAAAGAAGUUUUUCUAAAUUGAAGCUAUUGAAGUCCUAUAUGUGCACUACUAUGACACAUCAAAGACUCAAUGAUUUGGUGUAG